rnacentral:rRNA from 1 species
ACGCUCGACACCUACGGAAGGCAGCAGUGGGGAAUAUUGCACAAUGGGGGAAACCCUGAUGCAGCAACGCCGCGUGAAGGAAGACGGUUUUCGGAUUGUAAACUUCUGUUCUUAGUGAAGAUAGUGACGGUAGCUAAGGAGCAAGCCACGGCUAACUACGUACCAGCAGCCGCGGUAAUCUGAGCGGGCUGGCAAGGC